rnacentral:misc_RNA from 1 species
AUUAAUGCAAGACCAAGUGAUGACUCUAUGUGAAAAAGGAAUUAAAGCCUGUUUUUUGAAUUGUGAAGUUAGGUACCCAUGGAAGCACUUACAAAUUAAGAGGCGAAGAAGAAAACGAUUCAGAUGAUGACCAAGAUAAAACGGAUGUCCAUGCAUCAUGUUCCACAUCCCUAAUAGAUUUGCAGAGAGGAGCGUACAACAUAAUCUACGCUCACCCUGAAACUCUGCUUAACAACAAGAAUAUCUCAUCAAUGCUGAGAUCCAAACUGUACAAGCAGAGAGUCUGUGCUGUUGUGAUUGAUGAAGUUCAUAUGAUGUCAGAAUGGGGAAUGUCAUUUCGCAAGGCAUUCAAGAAGUUGUCCGAGUUGGUAUGUAUUUUCCCCCUACCAGACACUGUGCAUCUUGCUAUGACAACAACAGCAACACCAACAGCAAUCAAAGAACUUGUAGAUGACCUACAGUUCACAGACACUACAACCAUCACUGUAAAUCCAGACCGUCCUAAUAUUAAACUUGAGAUACAGACACGCCUUCCAAACAUCAGAAAAUAUGAAAAACUGGAUGAAUUGCUGCACCCCCUAGCCCAGGAGUUGCGCGACUUGCUUACUUGUUUUCCUUUAACUAUAGUGUAUAUUAAUCAAUUAGAAGCUUUGGGUUAUUGUUAUCAAUACAUUGAAGAUUUUUUAGGUGAAUUUUCAUAUUUUCCAGUCCAUGACCCUAUCCCUGAAAACAGGUUAUUUGCUCAAUUUCAUAAAGACUAUACAAGUAAAAUGAAAGCUCAUAUAGUUUGUCAAUUACGUAAAGAAAAUCCUACAUUAAGAUUAAUAUUUGCCACUGUUCCUCUUGGAAUGGGUUUAAAUGCACCUGGCAUAUCUCGUGUCAUUCACUUUCAGCCUCCAACAACCCUUGAGAAAUAUUUACAAGAGAUUGGUAGAGCAGGUCGUAAUGGUCAACAAGCCACAGCUAUUUUGUAUUAUAAUAUGAGUGACAUUGCACCGAACAGAAAAGGUCUCUCAGAAGAAAUCAGAAAAUUUUGCUUAAAUAAAUGUACAUGUUUAAGAAAACAUCUGUUGCAAUAUUUUGGGUUUUCAAAUGUUCUUUAUUGUGGUUCACCAGAAAAUUGUUGCUCUAAUUGUCAGAAGAAGUGAAUUUGUGUAUGCUUUUUUGUUGCUUCCUACUUGUAUGAAGUAUGGUUCAUUUGUAUUUAAAAAUCUUAAUUACUGUAUUAAAGCAAAUAUGACAAUAUAAAAACUGUAUUGCAAAUGCAGAUAUAUCCUUUCAAUUGGACAUUGCCUUUGGGUAGUUGUGUUAAACAGAAAGCAAUAAAAUGUAGACAGUCUUAUUACUGCAUGCACUACAGUGUGUGUGAAUAAAUAUGCAAUAUUAUC